CGCCCAUACCCGAGGGGGAGG
rnacentral:misc_RNA from 1 species